GACGUAGGGCGCGAGCGUUGUCCGGAUUUAUUGGGCGUAAAGAGCUCGUAGGCGGCUUGUCGCGUCGGCUGUGAAAACCCGCGGCUCAACUGUGGGCGGGCAGCUGAUACGGGCAGACUUGAGUACUGCAGGGGAGACUGGAAUUCCUGGUGUAGCGGUGAAAUGCGUAGAUAUCGGAAGGAACACCAGUGGCGAAGGCGACUUCCUGGACAGAUACUGACACUGAGGCACGAAAGCAUGGGGAGCAAACAGG
rnacentral:rRNA from 1 species